rnacentral:lncRNA from 1 species
CAGUCUCAAUCUAGAAAUAAAACAAACAAAAAAAAUAUAUUAGUAAAAUAAGGACAUCAAAUUUUAACACAGAACAUGUAUAAAAAAUUAUAAAUUAAAAACUUACAGUGUUUACAGCCACAUAUUGGUCGAUGAAUACCCGUGGCUCGUAAUCUUCCCCUUGACGCCUAAAGGGUCGAGGAUGGUGUAUUCGUCUCCGAGUAAUUUCUCUGUACCAUGUCAUAUAAUCCUCGGUAGAUAUCUGCUGCAAACCCUCCAACACUUGCCCUUCUAAACUCUCCAUGUAGGCCUCCCACAAAUCAAUAUAACUGGCCCUAUGUUUUUCAUAAUUUAUUUUCUCAAACAAUUUAUGUUCCUUCCUCAAAUCCACCAUGUUUUGAGCAUUAGAUGGAUAUGACUGC